GGUCGAUGUGUUUACAAACUGCCUGAUUUUAGACAUGGACUGUAUAUAUAGUUUUUGGUUUGGUUUUGCAGGGAGGGGAGAUAAUCUGUCCAGAGGGGUUUACGUUCUUGCUGACCCGUAGUAAACAACCAAGAUGUGUUCCACCAGAUCCGACAGGUUACCCGGAGCUUGACGUCACUACACAAAGCGACACCAAGGCGUGCGACCAGUCACGACGUGACUGUGCUACAAGCAGAUAUAAGGACUAUUCGGAACUUGUUUUUCGUUGUAAGACAUACAGCUUGAUCUACGAAGCGCCCCAGGCAAUGGAAGAUAUCAAGAUUAAAUACACGCGGAGUAGAACCGGGGAUGCGUGUAAAAUGCACUGUUAUAAUGAAAAAUUCUGCGUUGGAAUUUGGGUGGAGCAAACAGCAUCAGCGCUCACCUGUUUCUACCUCAUAUUGGAUGGUGUAGCUGCAGCUAAGACGGCCUUCAAAAAGAAAGGAAUAUUGCUCAGACGGAAAUGCGUACAAUAAAAACAGAAGGCUACACACCACUAUUAAUUACCCGAAGCGAGCGAUAUCCUGUUAAAAAUACACGUGGGAUGACGAUUUUUGUGAUGAACUAUGGUAGCCAAAGAGGCUUCGCGUUAUGUUUGAAACAAACAAAUUAGUCCUCAAGUUGUUUUACUUCGGAUUUACAUUAAGGUUACACACCAACAUUUAUUACUCUAUGCAGUUCAAUACAAUUUCUAUGUCGUAAUAUAUUCUGUGAAAAACACACUACCGAGAGGGUCAUGCGACUAUUAACUUUAGUGAGUGUUCUCAACUGAUAGGUACAGUGUAAAACAUCAGCAUAGGUUGACCACUAAACGUUUUAGACAGCAGACGUAUGGCAGAGUACCGCCUCGAGUUGGCGUUACACCAGUGUCACUAUAUCACUUACACAGUUUUGGUCAGUUAGUACUACAGAAAGCAAGUAACUUCAAACAAAUGUGCCAUUUAAAUACUGCAGAGGUCAGUCUACUUGUAAU